GAGUGUUCGGUUAAGUCCGCUAACGAGCGCAACCCUCGACUGUGUGUUACAAGUGUCACACGGAACUGCCGGUCAUAAACCGGAGGAAGGUGGGAUGACGUCAAGUCAGCAUGGCCUUUAUAUCCUGGGCUACACACACGCUACAAUGGGAAGGGACAAUAGGUUGCGAAGCCGCGAGGCGGAGCCAAUCCAGCAAAACUUCCCUCAGUUCAGAUUGCAGGCUGCAACCCGCCUGCAUGAAGUUGGAGUUGCUAGUAAACGCAGGUCAGCCAUACUGCGUUGAAUACGUUCCCGGGGCUU
rnacentral:rRNA from 1 species